CCGCCCCCGGCCCGGGUCACUUGCCGUCGCGGUGGGCGGCCCCCGGCGAGUCCACACCCCUGCCCCGCCUCCUCCCGGUAGGAAACUCCGGGACCCUGCAAGGGAUGACUCACCCCAGUGAUUCAACCGCGCCACCGAGCGCGGAGCUGCCCUGGAGGACGCAGGCGGGUCUAGUUGCCCGGGUCCCCCAAGGCCCCCGGAUUCACCCAGGCCCGCGACUCCGACGUGCAGCUUAGGUGGGUUGCAGGUCUAUGGCAGGAAAGGGAGGGCGCCUUGGAAGAAUUCUUCCCUUCCAUUUGGUGAUAAAGUGGGAGAGGCGGCAUUUACAACAUUUAAUAGAAAGCACGGGCUCUGGGCUCCCCUCGGGCAGCGGAGGGCAUUUCCCGGAUGCUUUGCCCACCUGGGGCAGAAGCUCGGGACCUGCAGCGAAGUAAACGUGUGGCUGUGAGCAGGGCCCUCUCCCAGCCACGGUGGCUUCUUCUACCCCACGAAGGUCAAGAAUACCUGGCCUGCCCACCUCGCGGGGCCCUUAGCGGGUCGCACAGGAGAAAGGCGGUGGGAAUGCCGGUGUCAGCCACGGUGUGACCGGCUCGGCUCACAGGUCUGAGGGUCAGUUGGCUCAGGCAUCGCCCGGUACGACCAGAGAUAGUGACUGAGGAAGAGCAGCCUCACAUCUGGCAGUUUGCCUCUGGGAGAAUUCCAGCGUGACAUCUGCAGCUCUGUGGUUCCAGAAAGGAUGGUUCCCACAUUGAAGAAGACAUCUGUGGGACUGAGUUCCACCGAAAUGCAGAGGAACCAAAAAUGAAAAUGAAAAAUGUAACCAGAGUUGUGUGCCACUAGUUUUAAGCUUUGGUUUUUCUAAAUUAUUUUCUGGCUUCUCCUUCUGGGCUUUGCUGUAAACUUGCCAAGCAUGAGAACAACUCUUCAUCUAUUGAGUGGCAUUUUAAGCCAUCCUGUCAAAGUAUCUCCUGUCAUUUUUAUUAUUAUUACUCUAUAUUGCCUGCAAGACACGACUGGAGAAUUCUUAGUGUAAGAAUUGUUUGUUUCCUCUCUCCUUCUUUCCCACGUUUUCCCAGGGAAGUCAGUCUUGCAUUUUAAUGCAUACUAUAUACAUAUCUCGUUUAGCUUACUGAACCACUUGUUUUAACAGAAUAAAACUGUGCAAAAUUUUAAUUUUCCUCCUUUGCCUGAACUGAAAUAGCACAUCCAGGUUUAGCCCUUGUAGACUUUCCUUCCUCGAAGCAGAAAGUUGCCCUUGAUGAUUUCCUCUUUGAGCUCUCUGCCAGCUCUGAAACCCACAAAAUUUAUGUUUGCAAAACUAAGCCAUGCAAUCCUCUUUUUAUGCAGGCUCUAGCCUGAGUCAUUUUCCCUAAGAGAUCUUCAGCUCCACCUGGGAUGUGAUUCUUUGCUCUCUGGGAUUGAAGGUAGCUGAAGAGAAAUAGUUACACUUCAGGAUGUCAGAGGAUGGGAGAACCUCACAGACAUUCUUUUAUGGAUGAGAACCCUGUGGCCAGCUGAUCUGAGUAAACUGGCUUGCCUAACCACACAGUGCAGAUCUGGUCUUCUGACCCCGGGGGCUUUCCUUCCAUCACCAGGCUUUCUCCUACUCCCAAUGAAGGAAAGUAAGACUGGGUGGUAAAUCCAUCAAAUGAAUGAUUAAUUAAUCCAUCCAUAAGCACUCAAAAAUGUUCUGCAUGUACACAAAGUGCAGAAAAGUGCAAAACUGCACAAAAACUGCACACAAAGUAUAGAAAAUACUUUGCAGUUUGGGGAACUCAUUGUUCUUAGGCAGAAAUAUCCUGAUGGUUAGUCCUUGAAAUAGACAGACAAGGAGACACGUAGAAGAGUUUGAAUUCCCUUUGCAUAACCAGUGAUGAAAUGUGGUUGAUGAGAAGUCUGAAAAUAACUGCGGAGAUGUUUCAGCCCUUCCACUGUACUUUUAUAGUACUUGCUGCCAAUUUUACCGACUCAUUUUCAUUGAGAACUUCACUUAAUCUCACUUGUGUGUUUACCUGUUAAUCUUUCCUGUUGGAUUGGGUUUUUUGUCUGUUUUUUUCCUCUCUCAACCCUUUCCACAAUUAUCAGCACAUAAUAGGCACUUAAUACCUUUUGAGUCAAUGAAUACUUUAUAAAACUAUGAGUGCAACCAAAUAUUUCACUGGUGUUCAAGAGAUGAAAUCUGUCACUGAAAACUCUUUCUAGGGGCCAGGCAGUGAGUGUUUCAUGAUGCUGAGAUUGGUAAGAAAAUACAAAUCCAUCAUGACUGGAAAGGCACCACUCGACCGCAAGUUCUAGCAGUCUAACCAGUGAUUAGCUAUCUCUGCACCACCAGAAAAUCUCACCAGGAGGAGAGAUAGCUGAGAAGCAGAAACCAGAUACAGAAGUUUGGAAACUAGCUAGCAUUUUUUUAAAAGACUGGAUUCUACGAUGAUUCAGAAUAUACUUCAUCAUGCGAUGAGGUUGUUGAUAGUUUUCCUUGCAUACAGAGGCUGAAUAACUUUUUAAAACAAAUUCCUCAAAAUGUUUAUUUCCCAGGAAAGAGAUAGGUUAAGAUACAUGAUAGCAAGUAAAAUUGAGAAUAAUUCAGAGAAACUUAUUUUAUGCAUAUGAAAUGGUAAAAAGAGCAAUGAAACCAUUACCCAAAAUUCAGGUAAAAGGCAAAGUAUGAGAAAAGGCCAGAGGGAAUUAGGAGUUAGUAGGAACACAGAGUUCUGGAGGAAAAGGAAAAAAGUGACUCAGCAGAACCUAAGAAACAUCUGGCUGGGUAUAGUUAGUCAUGGAAAAAUUGGCAGUCAUGAUUAUGCAUUUUGUGAAAAUAGCAAUAUACUAGUCCAACAGUUCAUUUAGACCAAAAUUAAACAGUUGAAAGUCAGUAUGAUAAAAUCUAUUAUCCUGGUCAUUCAAAAUACUUCUAUCAACUGUCUAGAACAGCUUACAAGAAGCUUUGCUAAAUGAGUUAUCACAUAGCACCAGUAUUCUGAAAAAUGUAACUUUAGAGAAAAACCUUCCAAUUCAAGUCUUAGACUGGGAUUGGUAUUUUCAGCAGACAUCUAUUUUUAUAAACGUAAAGCUUAUCAAACUACCUUUCAACUUUCAUUUUGAUGAACAGUAAAUAUUAUUUUAUUAUCUACAUACAAUGGUGACAAAAUAGAUAAAUAAUAAAUAUGAAUUGUGGGUAUUAUUUUAGUAACAAAAAGUCAUUUAAAAUGAAAACCCUUAACCUAUGUUCUUAUUAAUAUAAUAUUUAUGUGAUUUAAAAUUUUGUAUAUGGUAUCAUUUACUUAAGCAUCUCUUAAUUCCUCAUUUCUGUAACUCUUUAUACCUGACAUAUGUACUAAAUUUGAUGAACAGAAAUUCAUUCAUUCAACAAAUGCUUGAAUGUCCACCAGAUACUGGGUUCUUUGCUAGACUCUGGAUGUACAGAGUAAAACAAAGAAGUCCCUUUCCUGUUAAACAUAUCAUCAUUCCUACUUAUGUCCAGAUUUUAUGUUUGUUUGUUUGUUUUUUGAGACAGAGUUUCGCUCUUGUUGCCCCAGGCUGGAGUGCAAUGGCACAAUCUCGGCUCACUGCAACUCCACCUCCCAGGUUCAAAGCAAUUCUCCUGCCUCAGCCUCCUGAGUAACUGGGAUUACAGGCAUGUGCCACCAUGCCCAGCUAAUUUUGUAUUUUUAGUACAUACAGGUUUAUCUAUGUUGGUCAGGCUGGUCUCAAACUCCCGACCUCAGGUGAUCCGCCUGCCUCUGCCCCCCAAAGUGCCGGGAUUACAGGUGUGAACCACCAUGCCCGGCAGAUUUUAUGGUUUGAAUGAUUUUCUGUCAGCAUUUGAAUUGGAUAUAAAACAAUCUUAACAGUGUUGUUUAUUUACAAAUUUCAUUCUGUCCUCCCCCCAAAAAGAUUUAGGUGUGUCAUGAUCAGUUCAUCAAAUAGGUAUCUUUAACUCAGAAAAUGACUUACAGGUUUAAAAUAUACAUUCUCUAUCAGUUUGAACGUAUUGAUGAACUCUCAAAGUUUUGAAUAUGGAAAAAAUAUAUGAAGCUCAACAAGAAAGACAGCUUUAUAAAAAGGCAAGUCUAGCAGAAAAGAUAACCAAGUAGGAGGAGAUUCCUCACGUAAGGAAAAAAACAAGUAAAAUAAUCAGCUUAAAAGCAUGUGUGCAAGAUAUUUCAUUGUUAUUUUUAUGUUUGUUUGUUGACAUUUUAUAGCCUAGUUAACAGAUGCUCCAAAUUUUGAGCCUGUAACCCUUCCAAUCCCUUGCUGCCUUUGAUGGUGAUGCUCCAUCCUAUUAUACCAACUCCACAUUGAAGCAGAACUCUCAAGACAGAGAUGGGGAGGGAUGGAUGGGCUGUGAGGCCCCCCAGCCAAGAAGCUGGAAGAACUUUCUCGAAUCCUGCAGAGCUGCUCAGGGGCCUGCCUUGUAUCUGCCUGGCUGUUCCAGGGAGGUUGGAAGACAAACUGAAGGCUUUCCAUUGCUGAACAUCAGACCUCAGAAGUACUGACUGGAGGGCUCCCAAGCUGGCUCAGAUCAGCCUCAUAUUGCCCCGAACAGUAUCAUCACCGCUUUGCCCUGGUGGGGAAACUACUCUUUACCCUCUGUAUGAACCUAUGAAGCACGCAGGUCACUGGGGCAAUUUCUGAGUUUGAAGUUGCUUGGAUUUGCCAUUGCUGCUAUGUUGAAGGGAAGGGAGUGCUUUUGAAGAAAAUGUUCAUCUCUAGUUCCAGUAACAGGCAUGGAAUUGACACAUAACAGGUGUUUGUUGAAUUGAGCUGAAUAAAUUAGAAUCUGGGGCAAAAUAUAGUUGUUCUUUAUAGUCCUAAGUCUAUUAAUAAAGCAGAUAUAUCCUUAUUACAUGUUUUACUGCCAUAAAUGUGUCUACCAGAACUAGGAAUAAUGACAGACGGAAGGGUUGAGGAUUCUUUCUGACGAUAACCUGCCAGGACACCCGCUUCCUCCCUCCCUGUCCAGAUGGGGUGGACUACAGUGCUCUGGCUCACACCAGGGGUGGAGGUAUUCCCAUUAUUUGUCUGUUUUGUUGUCUGUAGUGCUUAGUCAGAAUGCUGCCUGAUACAUUGCAGGGGUUCAAUGACUUUCUGUGGAAUGAAUGAACAGACAGAUGGUUACUUACCCCAGGGACAUAAGAGCCUCACAUAGCUGCAGCGUGAGCAGUGCCCUCUGCAGUCCUGGACCCAGAUGCAUAGAGGCCGAGAUGUUCAGCCUUCCACCCCAUGGCCAUCCCGGAGCCUGGGGCUGACUCUGUCUGGUUUGGCUGCU
rnacentral:lncRNA from 10 species